rnacentral:rRNA from 1 species
ACUCGAGAGUGGCGAACGGGUGAGUAAUAUAUCGGAACGUGCCCAGUCGUGGGGGAUAACGUAGAGAAAUUUACGCUAAUACCGCAUACGAUCUAAGGAUGAAAGCGGGGGAUUCGCAAGAACCUCGCGCGAUUGGAGCGGCUGAUAUCAGAUUAGGUUGUUGGUGAGGUAAAAGCUCACCAAGCCGACGAUCUGUAGCUGGUUUGAGAGAACGACCAGCCACACUGGGACUGAGACACGGCCCAGACUCCUACGGGAGGCAGCAGUGGGGAAUUUUGGACAAUGGGCGAAAGCCUGAUCCAGCAAUGCCGCGUGCAGGAAGAAGGCCUUCGGGUUGUAAACUGCUUUUGUACGGAACGAAAAGGCUCUUUCUAAUAAAGAGGGCCCAUGACGGUACCGUAAGAAUAAGCACCGGCUAACUACGUGCCAGCAGCCGCGGUAAUACGUAGGGUGCGAGCGUUAAUCGGAAUUACUGGGCGUAAAGCGUGCGCAGGCGGUUCUAUAAGACAGAUGUGAAAUCCCCGGGCUCAACCUGGGA